rnacentral:rRNA from 1 species
AGCAGCCGCGGUAAUUCCAGCUCCAAUAGCGUAUAUUAAAGUUGUUGCAGUUAAAAAAGCUCGUAGUUGAAUUUUGGAUUCUGCCAGUUGGUCCAUCUUUUGAUGAGUACUGAUUGUGUGGGGUCUAUCCGCCUGGUAAUACGUAAUGUACUUUAUUGUAUGUUAUGGGUAGCCAGGACCUUUACCUUGAAAAAAUUAGAGUGUUUAAAGCAGGCUCGCGCUUGAAUACAUUAGCACGGAAUAAUGAAAUAGGACGUUUGACCCUAUUUUGUUGGUUUCUAGGAUCGACGUAAUGAUUAAUAGGGAUAGUUGGGGGCAUUAGUAUUCAAUUGUCAGAGGUGAAAUUCUUGGAUUUAUUGAAGACUAACUACUGCGAAAGCAUUUGCCUAAGGAUGCUUUCAUUAAUCAAGAACGAAAGUUAGGGAUCGAAGACGAUCAGACACCGUCGUAGUCUUAACCAUAAACUAUGCCGACUAGGAUCG